AGAGAACAUGGUCAGUUUUGGAACUGGAGAGAAUCUCCUAAAGGUCGCAAAAAGUUUCCUUCCACCGAAGAAAUUCCUGCAUUGUUUCUUCUAAGCAAAUUCACAAUGAAACUUGUACACUUACUUGGACCUAGAUACCGACAGCUAGCCAUGACUUGGGUACCAACUGCUGCAGUAUUCGGGGGCGCUUCUGGAGUAUCUCUGUUAUGGAUGUGUGACUGGAAAGUGGUCAUGCGCUAUGUGCCAU